rnacentral:rRNA from 1 species
GGGUGAGUAACACGUGAGUAACCUGCCCCUGACUCUGGGAUAAGCCUGGGAAACCGGGUCUAAUACCGGAUACGACCAUUUCUCGCAUGGGAUGGUGGUGGAAAGUUUUUUCGGUUGGGGAUGGGCUCGCGGCCUAUCAGCUUGUUGGUGGGGUGAUGGCCUACCAAGGCGACGACGGGUAGCCGGCCUGAGAGGGCGACCGGCCACACUGGGACUGAGACACGGCCCAGACUCCUACGGGAGGCAGCAGUGGGGAAUAUUGCGCAAUGGGCGGAAGCCUGACGCAGCGACGCCGCGUGGGGGAUGACGGCCUUCGGGUUGUAAACCUCUUUCAGCAGGGACGAAGUUGACGUGUACCUGUAGAAGAAGCGCCGGCUAACUACGUGCCAGCAGCCGCGGUAAUACGUAGGGCGCGAGCGUUGUCCGGAAUUAUUGGGCGUAAAGAGCUCGUAGGUGGCUUGUCGCGUCUGCCGUGAAAGCCCGUGGCUUAACUACGGGUCUGCGGUGGAUACGGGCAGGCUAGAGGCUGGUAGGGGCAAGCGGAAUUCCUGGUGUAGCGGUGAAAUGCGCAGAUAUCAGGAGGAACACCGGUGGCGAAGGCGGCUUGCUGGGCCAGUUCUGACGCUGAGGAGCG